UACGGAGGGUGCAAGCGUUAUCCGGAUUCACUGGGUUUAAAGGGAGCGUAGGUGGGUUGGUAAGUCAGUGGUGAAAUCCCCGAGCUUAACUUGGGAACUGCCAUUGAUACUAUCAGUCUUGAAUACUGUGGAGGUUAGCGGAAUAUGUCAUGUAGCGGUGAAAUGCUUAGAUAUGACAUAGAACACCAAUUGCGAAGGCAGCUGGCUACAGGUGGAUUGACACUGAGGCACGAAAGCGUGGGGAUCAAACAGG
rnacentral:rRNA from 1 species